rnacentral:tRNA from 1 species
UGCCUUAGCUCAGUUCGCAGAGCCUUGGAGUGCAAAUCCAGGGGAUACGGGUUCAAAUCCCGUCAAGGUCA